UACAGAGGUCUCAAGCGUUGUUCGGAUUCAUUGGGCGUAAAGGGUGUGUAGGUGGCGCCAUAAGUCAGGUGUGAAAUCUCGGGGCUCAACCUCGAAACUGCACUUGAUACUGUGGUGCUGGAGUACUGGAGAGGAGAUUGGAAUUUACGGUGUAGCAGUGAAAUGCGUAGAUAUCGUAAGGAAGACCAGUGGCGAAGGCGAAUCUCUGGACAGUUACUGACACUGAGGCACGAAGGCCAGGGGAGCAAACGGG
rnacentral:rRNA from 1 species